rnacentral:tRNA from 2 species
CAGAGCAUAGCUAAAUAAACAAAGCAUCUCCCUUACACCGAGAAGGUGUCCGUGCAAAUCGGACUGCCCUGA